AUUAAUUGAAACCAAAUAGAGGUAUGUCACUGUUAAUGGCAAAAUUGAAUAAUAAUUCCAAUUAAA
rnacentral:tRNA from 1 species